rnacentral:rRNA from 1 species
AAUGAACGCUGGCGGCAGGCCUUACACAUGCAAGUCGAACGACUGGCGGACGGGAGAGUGAUGUCUGGGAAUAUGCCCGAUGGUGGGAGAUUACUACUGGAAACGGUAGCUAAUACAGCAUACUAUAGGAUGUGCCCCGAUGGGAUUAGCGCGUAGGUGGGGUAACGGCUAACCUAGGCGAAGAUCCCUAGCUGGUCUGAGAGGAUGACCAGCCCGACUGGAACUGAGACACGGUCCAGACUCCUACGGGAGGCAGCAGUGGGGAAUAUUGCACAAUGGGCGCAAGCCUGAUGCAGCCAUGCCGCGUGUAUGAAGAAGGCCUUCGGGUUGUAAAGUACUUUCAGCGAGGAGGCGUUACUCGCAGAAGAAGCCCCGGCUAACUCCGUGCCAGCAGCCGCGGUAAUAC